GGAUCGGGCACUCGACACCGGUUUUGCCUGGUCGGUUCGCUUAGUUGGCAAGACUACAAGCAGAGGUCGUUCCUCGACGAACCGUCUUUGCCCGUAUGAAUGUGUACGUACGUGGACUCGUGGGUGUAUGCGUACGUAGGCCUGGUAUACGUCGUAUGUCGUGUGUACGCACGCGGGGCCAGGCGCUCUACGAGAGAGAGAGAGAGAUCAUUAACUGGAAUAUGACACACCUUACACCAGCUGGAAUUCUGCUUGUCGCGCGGCCCUAGUGCUCGCUCAUUACGUAUGAAUCUGCUUAACCAUCGCGUUGAAUCUGGACGAGCGGAUAACGGAUUUGAAAGGGAAAAUCCGACGAGGAGACUACCGUACUACUUUUCAAGCGUGUCGAAGAGGCUAUCGUGAAACGAGGAAUGCAAACGACGCGAUUAAAUGUUGGGGAAAGCGUGUUAUAAGCAACCUUGCAAUCGCGCCGAGCACGAGGGAAACGUUUAGGAAUGUAAAACGCUCAUGGAUACGUACAUGACACCAGCGCAUGAUUCAAGCAUCCAGAAAAAUUUUGCUGCACGUCAUAUCGUAGAAGGAAAACCGGAUUUUAGAAUCACGUUAUCGGUUUAGGAUAAUCGUUUCUGUAAAACCAUUUCCGCGCGAGCACGACGAGAGUGCAUAAAAUGCGUGAAGCAAUGUAAGGACGAUGACGACGACGAACACGCUCGAUUUGCUGAGCAGCAACGUCAUUCACACGCAAGAGAAUCUUUCGUCAAUAGCGAUGGGCAAAAAAACUUAUUGGCAACUUUGGCCUGACCGAUCGUAAGGACAUUUCCUGUGGAAUGUGCGCUCGUAACCCAGGUAGAUCUAGGUACCUGUCGCCGCAGGCAGGUAGCUGCACCAACCUUAGUAACCGGAUGAAAGAUAAGGCGACACGA